UUGAACGCUGGCGGUAUGCCUUACACCUGCCAGUCGCACGGCAGCACGGGUGCUUGCACCUGGUGGCGAGUGGCGAACGGGUGAGUAAUACAUCGGAACAUGUCCUGUAGUGGGGGAUAGCCCGGCGAAAGCCGGAUUAAUACCGCAUACGAUCUACGGAUGAAAGCGGGGGACCUUCGGGCCUCGCGCUAUAGGGUUGGCCGAUGGCGGAUUAGCUAGUUGGUGGGGUAAAGGCCUACCAAGGCGACGAUCAGUAGCUGGUCUGAGAGGACGACCAGCCACACUGGGACUGAGAAACGGCCCAGACUCCUACGGGAGGCAGCAGUGGGGAAUUUUGGACAAUGGGCGAAAGCCUGAUCCAGAAAUGCCGCGUGUGUGAAGAAGGCAUUCGGGUUGUAAAGCACUUUUGCACGGAAAGAAAUCCUUGGCCCUAAUACGGUCGGGGGAUGACGGUACCGGAAGAAUAAGCACCGGCUAACUACGUG
rnacentral:rRNA from 1 species